rnacentral:rRNA from 1 species
CGGCGGACGGGUGAGUAAUGCUUAGGAAUCUGCCAUUUAGUGGGGGACAACAUUCCGAAAGGGAUGCUAAUACCGCAUACGCCCUACGGGGGAAAGCAGGGGAUCUUCGGACCUUGCGCUAAAUGAUGAGCCUAAGUCGGAUUAGCUAGUUGGUGGGGUAAAGGCCUACCAAGGCGACGAUCUGUAGCGGGUCUGAGAGGAUGAUCCGCCACACUGGGACUGAGACACGGCCCAGACUCCUACGGGAGGCAGCAGGC